CCCCAGAAAGCUGAAUGCUGUUGGAGGAGGCCGUUAGAUUUUCUCUCUUCUUACAUCCUGAAUGAGAUGUUCUUAAUAAUACACCUGCUUAUUCCACUCAGUACAAAACCAUAAAUGUCAUCAGGGCUUUCAUACAAGGAAUGUAUUCCCUGCACAACAAUGGAGGAAGCAAAAAAUGUGCUCCAUGUCACAGUGAUGAGUGUGUUAGAAAGCACUGGGAUGGAGAGCCUGUUAAAUGCAGCCCCAGUCAAAGCAGGGUCACAAAUUUGUGGUGGUGGGUCAGCUCACACACUGAUUUCUGCCAUCCAGGAAUAUUCAGGCAACUGGAUGUCUGAAGAAAGACUGCUUCUAAGAUGAUCAUUGGUAUUGGGUUGUGAACCAGCCCAGCCCAAGCCCAGCAGCAAGGAGCCAAGCCAAGACAAGUACUGCUGACCACAGCCAAGAGCAGCGGUUUGGAAAGAGACCACACAGCACUAGCUCUGGAGAGCACCUUCUGUCUUGUCUCUGUCUCGGAAAUAGCUCGUGCCACUGCUGAGCUGCAGGAACGUUGCCACCUUGUUUUUGUCUCAGUGGCCAGGCAGAACUAAGCUCAGAUGGCAACAAUGAGGUCCCUGUGCUGGACCCUGGCUCAGCCAUCCAGCAAACAGCCAGUUUGGGUGUGAUGUGGGAAAGCUGUCAUGGAUAUUUGGAAGAGCUUUACCCCUACAGGUUCCUGGGCAGGCUGUACAGUUAUUCUCUGCAGGCUGCAGAAUUACUCUUUGCUCACCAAAGCAAUUGCCUGGAUGGAAAAUGCAGGGAAUAAGGUGGACAGAGAGGUGGAGAGACAUCUUUGAGAGGGUCAGAGACAUUUGCCUUCACAAUUUCUUCUUCCUGU